GCCUUCUAGCUCAGUUGGUAGACCAUGAGACUCUUAAUCUUAAGGUUGUGGGUUCAAGCCCUACAUUGGGCA